AUUGAACGCUGGCGGCAUGCUUUACACAUGCAAGUCGAACGGUAACAGGCCGCAAGGUGCUGACGAGUGGCGAACGGGGGAGUAAUGCAUCGGAACGUGCCCAGUCGUGGGGGAUAACUACUCGAAAGAGUAGCUAAUACCGCAUACGAUCUAUGGAUGAAAGCGGGGGACCGUAAGGCCUCGCGCGAUUGGAGCGGCCGAUGUCAGAUUAGGUAGUUGGUGGGGUAAAGGCUCACCAAGCCAACGAUCUGUAGCUGGUCUGAGAGGACGACCAGCCACACUGGGACUGAGACACGGCCCAGACUCCUACGGGAGGCAGCAGUGGGGAAUUUUGGACAAUGGGCGCAAGCCUGAUCCAGCAAUGCCGCGUGGAGGAAGAAGGCCUUCGGGUUGUAAACUGCUUUUGUACGGAACGAAACGGCUCUGGUUAAUACCCGGGGCUAAUGACGGUACCGGAAGAAUAAGCACCGGCUAACUACGUG
rnacentral:rRNA from 1 species